rnacentral:rRNA from 1 species
ACGUAGGGUGCAAGCGUUAAUCAGAAUCACUGGGCGUAAAGCGUGCGCAGGCGGUUUUGUAAGACAGGUGUGAAAUCCCCGGGCUUAACCUGGGAACUGCAUUUGUGACUGCAAGGCUGGAGUGCGGCAGAGGGGGAUGGAAUUCCGCGCGUAGCAGUGAAAUGCGUAGAUAUGCGGAGGAACACCGAUGGCGAAGGCAAUCCCCUGGGCUAGCACUGACGCUCAGGCACGAAAGCGUGGGGAGCAAACAGGA